AUUGAACGCUGGCGGCAGGCUUAACACAUGCAAGUCGAGCGGAGCGAGGGUGCUUGCACCUUAGCUUAGCGGCGGACGGGUGAGUAAUGCUUAGGAAUCUGCCUAUUAGUGGGGGACGACAUUCCGAAAGGAAUGCUAAUACCGCAUACGCCCUACGGGGGAAAGCAGGGGAUCUUCGGACCUUGCGCUAAUAGAUGACCCUAAGUCGGAUUAGCUAGUUGGUGGGGUAAAGGCCUACCAAGGCGACGAUCUGUAGCGGGUCUGAGAGGAUGAUCCGCCACACUGGGACUGAGACACGGCCCAGACUCCUACGGGAGGCAGCAGUGGGGAAUAUUGGACAAUGGGCGGAAGCCUGAUCCAGCCAUGCCGCGUGUGUGAAGAAGGCCUUUUGGUUGUAAAGCACUUUAAGCGAGGAGGAGGCUCUUAAGGUUAAUACCCUUGAUGAGUGGACGUUACUCGCAGAAUAAGCACCGGCUAACUCUGUGCCAGCCGCCGCGGUAACAC
rnacentral:rRNA from 1 species